ensembl:lncRNA
GGGCGGUUGAUGCCUUGGGAGCCACCCCUGGCCGUGGCAAAGCAGCCCCUGCUUGCUGUUGUGUCACUCACAAUGUGAUUGCCAUGGCUGGAUGCAAAUAGAACACAGAAUUGAUCCUAAUUCUGUAUUCUGGAAUAAAAAACUGCAGUGGGAAGGGAGUUAAAAUGAUCAAUUGGUCCAACUGCAGGCUUUGAAGUGCAGGAAAGCAGGCCAGAGUUAAACCCCAGAGCAAGACAAUCAAAUUUGGGUGUCUGUGCCUCAUCAGUCUGAGCCCAGCAGUGAGAAACUGGCAAAAACUGGGGGAAAAAACAGGCAAAAAUUCAGGGGAAGAGAGAGAAAUGGUUCAAACAGCCCAGCUAGGGGAGAGUCUAACUACAGACAGCGUUUUUUUGAGCAUUUUUGCCCUUAUCCAGGGUGAAGGGUCCAGCCCCUUGCCUGUUCUGCUGUGCUGGGAACACCUGGACUGUCCUUUCCCAUGAUCAGUGACAUCCCUGCUCUGAGGGCAGUGACAGGAUCAUGUGAGGGGUCAAAGGCACCUUUGAACAUCAGUAAAACUCUGUGAGUUUGAACUUUCUACCAAAGCCAAGAUUAAAUCAGAGAAGCGAAUCAUCUCUCAGCUGCUCCCUCCUCAGGGUGCAGUCAUCCCUAACCAUCCCAAAUUACCAAAAAAAAGCCAGCUUUUAAGACUUCACGGCCCCGGGCUCAGAAGUGCGUGCCAAGAACUGCAUCACAUCGAUAGGAACAAAACCCUGGCAGAUUCGAGCCGGCCCUCGAAAUCCAUUAGUGCCCUCGGAAAUUGGGGGGCUGGAAGCGUGGCAGUGGAGAAGUAAAUUUUAGGGGUGCACAUUGAAGUGGGGAGCUCGUGAGGAUCUGGAAAUUCCAGUUGGUGCCAUGGAUCAGUUUUGGGGACCUGGAGACUCCCUGCUCCAGGUUUACUUGUGCUGACCCCAUCAUUCUCCAUCAUCCCCUAUCACAGUCCAUCUUUUGGGACUCAGCUUUCCAGCCCCACAUCCCAGGAUUUCCUUGGGGAAGGACAGCUCCAGCCCAAGCAUUUCAGGGGAGCCUGGCAAGGGCGCCUCGAAAACGACAAAAGAAGGAAGACAACGUGUGCUCGGACCGAUCGGCGCAAAUCCCCGCGGAGACCUUGGAAACCCGAACCGGCCGGAAGUAACAACCCCAAAAGCAGGAUGGAAGAAGAUGUCAAGCAAAUCUCAUCUGUAUCAGAGGGGAGGGAGCCACGAGGUUACUCCAAGCUCCGGGAGCGGCUCCAGCUCUCCGUGCCCCCUUCCCUCUCCCCUGGAACAGAGCAGAGCUUAUCGCUGCCAGUGUCUCUCUGGAGAUGCCCACCCGCGCUCCCGGCGGGGCAGGCAGAGGGGGGCACAGCCCGUUUUUGUCUCAGCAGGUAUCAGUUUGGGGCUUGUCUUAUCUGCCACCCGCGCCAGGUCCCCGCGAGGGCUCUCCCGGCGGAGCGCUGAUAACGGGAAUCCAUGAAUCGCCCUUUUCAGCCCCGCGCGCCGUGGGCAGCCAAGCUUUAUCUGCAGCCUUAAGGAAGGAAAAGCAGAAACCAGCUAAAAGCCUUUCUUUCCCUCCUGUCCUCUGAUGUUCUGGAAGGCACUUUGGGAGAUUAAUAUUGCGGCGGGGCCCUCCUCCUCCUUCCCCUAUCCCCCAAAAUCCCCGUUGUGACCGAGCGCGCUGAUAAACUUCAAAAUAAAAACAGAUGUGGCAGGAAGAAUGAUUUAUGG